UACGGGUCCUACUCCUACGGGAGGCAGCAGUGCGGAAUUUUAGAUAAUGGAGGCAACUCUGAUCUAGCGACGCCGCGUGCAGGAAGAAGGUCUUCGGAUUGUAAACUGCUGUGGUAAGGGAAAAAUGUCAUGUAGAGUGGAAAGCUACAUGGAGGGAUGGUACUUUACUAGAAAGCCCCGGCUAACUACGUGCCAGCAGCCGCGGUAAUACGUAGGGGGCGAGCGUUACCCGGAAUCAYUGGGCGUAAAGGGAGCGUAGGUGGCCUGACAUGUCGACUGUGAAAACCCGGAGCUCAACUCCGGACUUGCAGUUGAAACUGCCAGGCUUGAGGACGGUAGAGGAAGACGGAACYGCCAGUGUAGGGGUAAAAUCCUUAGAUAUUGGCAGGAACGCCGGUGACGAAGGUGGUUUUCUGGGCCGGUUCUGACACUGAUGCUCGAAAGCCAGGGGAGCGAACGGGAU
rnacentral:rRNA from 1 species